rnacentral:rRNA from 1 species
CAAUAGCGUAUAUUAAAGUUGUUGCGGUUAAAAAGCUCGUAGUUGGAUUUCUGCUGAGGAUGACCGGUCCGCCCUCUGGGCAGGUAUCUGGCUCAGCCUUGGCAUCUUCCUGAAGAACGCAGCUGCACUUGACUGUGUGGUGCGGUAUUUAGGACAUUUACUUUGAGGAAAUUAGAGUGUUUCAAGCAAGCGCACGCCUUGAAUACAUUAGCAUGGAAUAAUAAGAUAGGACCUCGGUUCUAUUUUGUUGGUUUCUAGAACUGAGGUAAUGAUUGAUAGGGAUAGUUGGGGGCAUUCGUAUUUAACUGUCAGAGGUGAAAUUCUUGGAUUUGUUAGAGACGGACUACUGCGAAAGCAUUUGCCAAGGAUGUUUUCAUUGA